UACGUAGGGUGCGAGCGUUGUCCGGAAUUAUUGGGCGUAAAGAGCUCGUAGGCGGUCUGUCGCGUCGGUCGUGAAAACUUGGGGCUUAACCCUGAGCUUGCGGUCGAUACGGGCAUGACUGGAGUUCGGUAGGGGAGACUGGAAUUCCUGGUGUAGCGGUGAAAUGCGCAGAUAUCAGGAGGAACACCGGUGGCGAAGGCAGCUUGCUACAGGGAUAUUGACACUGAGGCACGAAAGCGUGGGGAUCAAACAGG
rnacentral:rRNA from 1 species